rnacentral:lncRNA from 1 species
AGGGUGAUGUUGCAGUCAGUGGCGAGCUUCAGUCCCAGGAGCCUGGAUGAAAGUAGACACAGAAUGAGAGAUCAAGGAUGCAACAAGGAAGAAACAUCUUCCCUGUUAGUACCCAGUGAACUGAGGCUGGGCUAGAAAAUCACAUCUGUUGUAAAAUCAGAAAGGGUCAUACCUGGAGCAGAUGGAAAUUACACUAAAGAAAUAAUGGACAUCACCUAAAGAUCCUGAAUGAAGAGCAGUGGUUCUGUGAAAUCUCCUUUGGGUGCAGUAGCUGGGUGUGGCUUUGCCACUAGGGAGAAGAUGGUUGUAUUACAUAAAGUAAGGUCAUAUUUGGAAUUUCAUGUGCAGCGGAAGAGGGCGUAUAUAUGUUGAGCAGAA